AUCUGAAUAAGAGAGGGCCAAAGAUUGUAAUGAAAUUCCUCUGACUCUAAAUGAAGCUGGACAAAGGGGUCUAAAUACGUUAACUCGUUAUGCAAUAUUAAACAGUGAAGAAACAAUAUUUUCUAAACAGCACUUCCCACCGAGCACUCCGUUCAGUAAAACUUAUCACUGCAGUGAGAUGUGUGUGUUCGUUCAUUCAUUCUUUUAUCCUGGAAUCUGUUGGCGGGCAGCGACUAUCUGUCAGGCAUGGGGUUUAUCCCGAGCUCAAACGGGACAAUGUAGGCUAAAAGGCUCAUUCGAGUGUGUUCCGAAGUGUUUUGUAGAUGUCGGUACCAGCCAGGUUACUGGCCCCAAACUUUCCUGUCCUUGGACAGGCAGCCUCCCUCUGAUUUACAGGUGCUUACCCUCUCCAAUACACCAUUAGCUCUCUGUUCACGAUCCCCAUUUUUAUAGCUCUUGACAAGUUCUAAGCUUUCUUCAGUUUGUCUUACUGCCCUCUGUAUAUUAUGGUAACAGAAAGAAAAAGCACUGUUAGUAUGUCUUAAAAUUGUGCUAUCAUCAAGGAAUAAAUGUACACUCUGAUUGAAGAUUAAUGCAAAUGGGACCUCCAGUUGGCUUUAUUUAAUAAUAAAUAAUAAUAGGUAAUAAUCCUAGUUGGAUUUAUUUAAUAAUGACUUAAAGAAAAACUAAUCUUUUAAUAAGAUAAGAGACAGUGAGGUGUAAGCAUUUCUUCAUUUUGAAACUUCUUAAAAAUGUACAUUUUCCAAACUACUCAGGAAACCAAGUGAAAAGUGUGGUUUCCAGCUAUUCCAAUAGGAACACUUUAGUGUUCCGACAGCACUUGCGUUGUGAAUCUUCUCACUUUCUGUCUUGGGAUCCAUAAGGGAUAAAUAAGGAUAAAUGUGAGAAGACCAAACUAAAGGGAGCAACAACAUUAGAGGAAAACGUUAAGCACAGAUAGCAAGCAAAGGAGAAUCAACACAUACUCAGUCGGAGAACCUGACGAAGGAACACAACACAAAACAAAAUAGCUAUUUUGAAAUGCAUAUCAAGCAAGUAUUACAGAAGUAAAAUAAUAAUCUACAUUUUAAAAUAACAGCUCACGGCACAAAAUGUUGAACUAAGUGACCUAUUCCAAGACAACAAAGAGUAAAAUUACUAAAGAUUAUUUUGAGCUAAAAGAACUUGAAAUGGCAGACGUAGGAAGGGCACUUGGACUUCUUUUCUUUCUGAAAGCAGGAGAUAAAACUCUUCAUGUAGAAGAUGCUCUCCCUAUACCGCGAGGAAAAAACCAAUCUUUUCACCAGAGAUGAGGAGUUGAAGCCAGGAGAAAUCUAUACAGACAGACCUUGCGGAAAUAACCCUUAAUCUUCCUGAAUGAAAACUAUACACGCCCCUCGGAAUUGCUGCGAAGUAGCUUGGCGUGGUGCACAGCUGGAACUCAGAAAACAUCGAGAAGAAAUGUUAGAGAAGGAAGUGAGGGGAUCGGGGUUGGCAUGUGACCCUAACAGGACCAGAAUUCCCGGAGUCAAAGCAUCAUCAGAAUAAUGAUAUACAAUUGCAAUGACGUCUGCCUGCAUCACAAGGGAACUUCAAUUAAACCCCAGCACAGAGGAAAGCCCACUUGGACUUGACCCAGAAGUCAUUGGUUGGGUCUUCACUGUGGUCUUUGGUGAUCGUGAGACCCAACACUACACCCAGAGCAGAGACUCUGGCACGCCUGGGGGCCUGUUCUGGGGGGUUCUUCUUCCCCCCAGUCUUCAUCAUCUUCCGGAGAGGAACUCACCUACUCCUGUGACGAUGACCAUCACCCAGGAAUCACUCACAGACCUCUGAGCCCAACUGUCUUCUGUAGGUGCAAAAACUUACACGCUUCAUAAACUCUGUUGUUAACAAAACUCUUAUGCUGCCCUAUUCAGUCCCAUAUGUAAAUUUUGAGUCUCCAAACUGUGAAAGUUUCUACAAGUUAGUCAAAGAAAUCUCGGCAAAAUAAGGAGGAAAUAUUUUGUCUUCCCCUGUAGCCUCACAAAAGCAGGUACCUGCAUCAUAAAACUGACCUUGCAGAGGUUAUUUCUAAGACUUUAGAGAUCAUUACUCUGCCGCUUGACUGUAACUUUCAACUCUGGAAAAGUCUACAAUUCCAACGGGUUACCUUCACAAAUUAUUUUUUGUCUGGGAUCAUAUUUAAAUUACAUUGCUGCUUUUGACUGUGACAAACACCUGUGAGUUUUCUUUGCAAAUCCAGAAAUAAAAUCAGCGCACUUGUCACAUGUAAUCCUGAAAGUAAACUCAAACUUUUCACUC